AAAGUCAUGCCGAAGAUCAUCCAAGUAGUUUGAAGUCAGGUGUAUGCUGCGACCGGUUAUGCAAUUAUGCUCUGACCUCCAGCUGAUGGACGUUUGCAGCAAAGAACUACAAAAAUACACAAAAAGUUGUUUGAAUAUCUCCAGGAAGUAUUAUCAGAUGAAUCCUUUUCUGACAUGACAUUAAUGACACAAGCUGUUAGCGGUGAGGCUCAGCACCUGUCAAUCAAGUUCGGACAGCGUUGUCUUCUUUCCACUCAUGUUUGUUCUAUAAACAGCUGGAAUUCCAGAGAGCGAACCAAGGUGGUGCUUUCCAGGUUAUCCGAGUCUCUUCGUGUUUCCUGUAGAGUGCGUAACCCCGGCUCUGGGUCUGAUGAGUGCUCCUCUGCAUCAUAAUGGCUGCGUAAUGGCAGAGGAGUCCAUUCUACAGGACCAAGAGCACCCAAGGGUACAACCAGUGUUCCUCCAUGAUGUGCCCAUUUUCCAUGAUGAUAAUGUCCAUACAUACUGUACUCUUUACUACACAGCAGAAAGGCUAAAAUGUACGAUAGCUAUACACAUAUUUUCAAGUGUGA